CUUGCACUAACUAUGAUAAUGCUAGACUAUAUAGUUGAGAAUAACUUAGGAAAUAUUCUUGUAGUUCAUUCUAAUACCAUGCUAAUGACUUUCUAGAGUAUCUAAUUGAGGUGCUUAUCAUAUUUAUUAUGUGGCUAAGUAUGCUGAUCAGAUUAAUUAUCUUUGUCACUAGUCAUUACUUCAUAUAUCUUUUAUGUGACACUUACCCCUGUAUGAAAGAGUUAGAUAAAUGUUCUCAAUUAUACAUGCGAUGAUAGAUACUCAAUCUCAUAUUCUAUUCUAUAAUCAAAAUUGAUGAUUGCUAAUCCCUUCCCAGUGGUAAAAAUAUAAAUAACGAUACCUGGAAUACUUCCCGGUUAAAAUGCUACAUCGGUAUUAAUCUGUGCGCUUGCAGAUCCCAUUCAUUAUUUAUUUAGAAGAGCAAUUGUAUAUUUCAAUACCGCGUCUCUCAUGUCAUGCUGGGGAUGACAACUUGGCUUAAGUGGUAUGAGGGAUAGGUUUGGCAUUUUUGGCACCGUUACUAGAAUUAGAAAACUAAGUCUACUUUUGGUAAUGAUGUUAAGAAUACCCAAC
rnacentral:lncRNA from 1 species